ensembl:piRNA 21ur-13275 ncRNA
UGAAUUAUCUUCCACCACAUU